rnacentral:rRNA from 1 species
UACGGAGGGUGCGAGCGUUGUCCGGAAUCACUGGGCGUAAAGGGCGCGUAGGCGGCGCGAGUAGUCAACGGUGAAAGCCCGGGGCUCAACCCCGGGUCGGCCGUCGAUACUCUCGUGCUUGAGCACUGUAGAGGCAGGUGGAAUUCCGGGUGUAGCGGUGGAAUGCGUAGAGAUCCGGAAGAACACCAACGGCGAAAGCACUCUGCUGGGCCGACACUGACACUGAGAGACGAAAGCUAGGGGAGCGAAUGGG